AUCAACUUCACCUGUUUCUUUAUAUUUACGUGUACAUUUUUUUCCACUAGAAUAUUUAUACAUUUAAAUUUAUGUGCUGAUUAUUUGUUAUUAUUUAUUAAUUAUUUAUAAAGAUUCCACUAGCACAUUGAAGAUGAUUGAUGUGACGGUUUAUGGCUCUUGGACAGCACUGGGCCAGAGGGAACCAGUUACUUAAUUGACAAACAUUUAGUGACCAGCUCUACACAAGGAAAUCCAGCAGACACUACCUUAGCCAAAUGAUCAAGGUUAACGCCACCGAUAAUAACAUAUACCGAUGUCAUGUGCCCCUGCUACGCGGCACAGAGGACGCACAUCACCUCCGAUCUACCGGUGAGAGCGACAGACCUGAACUCGAGGGCUUUCGACAAAAUACCUGACCCGUGUUCUUCAAAAGUGUCAAGUUCCGAAGGAAAAGGAAAGACUGAGGAGCUGUCAUAUCUUGGAAGGAAUUAAAGAGAAAAAGUUAAAUGCUUUGUGGCAAGGUGAGAUCUGACUCCGGUCCCGUUGAUAGCAUGGGGCCGAUGUUCCUUGUUACCCUUGGGGAACCGCCACGGUGAGGGGAGGUGUGGCCACAGGAGGCAAGUGGUUGAAGGUCAUACAACUACCAUCAUCUAUCUCCGCAACAUUUCUGUAAGCCUCAAAUUACAUCGAAAUUUACGAGUGGAUACAAAUAAAGGCACGCAGGUCAGACCCACUCGGGCCGCUCUCUGGCCACCGGCACAAAGCCCAACCUCGCCGGCUCUGUGCGCCCCCCGUCUCACCCCCAGUCUCCUGUCCAAGGCCAGCCAGAGUCAGGAGCACUCGGCCACCUCUGUCCCACUUUCUGGAGAGCCGAGAUGGGUUGUUUAUUUGGGGGGCAUGUAGAGAAGUCCUUACUAGGUUUUAUUAAAUGAGAAAAGGAGUGAGUGCUCAUUGCGUAAAGUCAAAGAAAGCACGUGAAUGAGAGAAACAGCAGUAAACAGUUCGCCUCCCGCAAUAUAUUCCCGCCCCAGAGGCGACCAGGUACCAAUGGGCGGCCAGCUUCCCUGUGCUUCUCCACGCUCUGCAAACGCAGGUGCACAGGUUCAUGUGGCUUCCUCUCCUACCUUUGCAAAGACACAGGGUCGUCUCCCAGGUGUUAUCCUGAAACUGGGCUUUCCUCACCCAACAAUGCCUCGCGGGCACUUCUUAGAAUUAUAGAUGUGUAACUCCUGCCCGUGUGCAAAUAGCUGCAGGAUAUUUCAACAUCCUACAUUAUGACUGCACUAGAGUCUAUCAGCCACGCUCCUAUGGAUGGACUCAUGCCAUUGCCAAUGUUGCCACAGAAACAAUGAGUCCGUGUCUAUCGGCAGUCUCGUUUCUGAAGAAGAGCCCCUAAAUGGGAUGGCUAAGACAAAGGACGCAAACAUGGUUACUUUAAUAAACAUCCUCGGAUGACUCCGCAUAGUGGGUUUAGCGGUCACAUCCCCACCGGCGACAGAUGGAGCCCCGUGUCUCAACCCCUCACGUGCGUUCGUGCACUCAGCAGGGCUUCAUUGCAAGGCCAAUGUGCCCCCUCCAUUAAAGUGUUUCUUUUGUUGUAUA